AGAUACCCUGGUAGUCCACGCCGUAAACGAUGAAUGCUAGGUGUUGGAGGGCAAAGCCCUUCGGUGCCGCCGCAAACGCAAUAAGCAUUCCACCUGGGGAGUACGUUCGCAAGAAUGAAACUCAAAGGAAUUGACGGGGACCCGCACAAGCGGUGGAGCAUGUGGUUUAAUUUGAAGCAACGCGAAGAACCUUACCAAGUCUUGACAUCCCCCUGACCGGACAGUAAUGUGUCCUUUCCUUCGGGACAGGGGAGACAGGUGGUGCAUGGUUGUCGUCAGCUCGUGUCGUGAGAUGUUGGGUUAAGUCCCGCAACGAGCGCAACCCUUAUCCUUAGUAGCCAGCAGUAAGAUGGGCACUCUAGGGAGACUGCCAGGGAUAACCUGGAGGAAGGUGGGGAGGACGUCAAAUCAUCAUGCCCCCUAUGAUUUGGGCCACACACGUGCUACAAUGGCGUAAACAAAGGGAAGCGAGAGUGUGAGCUUAAGCAAAUCCCAAAAAUAACGUCCCAGUUCGGACUGCAGUCUGCAACUCGACUGCACGAAGCUGGAAUCGCUAGUAAUCGCGGAUCAGAAUGCCGCGGUGAAUAAAAUGCCGGGUCUUGUACA
rnacentral:rRNA from 1 species